GGGUAUAUUGUAUUUGUGCACAAAGUUAAUGUAUGUAACACACAGAAGGAAUCGUUUCCGACCCCAUAAAGUGUAUAUAUUCUUGAUCACCAUCAAUAGCCGAGUCGAUUGANUUACAUACAUUCACUUUGUGCACAAAUACAAUGUACCCUA
rnacentral:miRNA from 1 species